rnacentral:rRNA from 1 species
UACGUAGGUCCCGAGCGUUGUCCGGAUUUAUUGGGUGUAAAGCGAGCGCAGGUGGUUUAUUAAGUCUGGUGUAAAAGGCAGCGGCUCAACCAUUGUAUGCAUUGGAAACUGGUAGACUUGAGUGCAGGAGAGGAGAGUGGAAUUCCAUGUGUAGCGGUGAAAUGCGUAGAUAUAUGGAGGAACACCGGUGGCGAAAGCGGCUCUCUGGCCUGUAACUGACACUGAGGCUCGAAAGCGUGGGGAGCAAACAGG